AUGGCUGGUGAUUUGGGCCUGUGCUGCACGGAGUGGGGCAGGGGCUCGGUAGGGGCUGUGUCUCAUGGCCUCGCUCUCUCUCCCUUUGCAGUUAGCGCCACGGCCCCGUCUGUCUUCCCCCUGACCUCCUGCACUGGCGAAGUCACCACGUCCCAGGUCACCUUCGGCUGCCUGGCCAAAGGAUACUUCCCCGAGCCGGUCACCGUGACAUGGAGCCCAAACGUCGGCUCCUCGGGCGUGAAGACCUAUCCCUCCGUGCUGCAACCUUCCAGCGGCCUCUACUCCCUCAGCAGCCAGGUCACCGUCCCUGCCAGCAGCUGGGAGUCUGACACCUAUAGAUGCACCGUAGAGCACCAGCCCACCAGAUCCAGCAUCUCCACGGAAAUCCCAAGGCCCAUCCCCACUGAACCCCACGCCCCCGAGGUGCACGUCCUCCACUCCUCCUGCACCACCAAGCCAGGUGCCAUCCAGCUGCUGUGCUUCAUCUCCGGCUUCUACCCCGAGUCUUUGACGGUGGAAUGGCUGGUGGACGGCGAGCCCGGGCUACUUCCUAGUGACACCGCCCCUGCCAAGAAGGACGCCGACGGCCGCACCUUCAGCACCCGCAGCAAUGCCAGUGUCUCCCAGGACGAGUGGCUGGAGGGCAAGACGUACACCUGCCAGGUGUCCCACCCGGGCAGUGCCACCACAAAGCAGGACCACGCCCGCAAGUGCAGAGAAGAAACAACAUCUCCCAGCAACAUCCAGGUCUUCCUGGUGCCCCCAUCUCCUGCCGCCCUGUACGUGGCCCAGAGCCCCAUGCUCACCUGCCUGGUGGUCAACCUGCCUAGCGACUCCGGCCUCCAGGUGGUCUGGUCCCGGGAGAAGCCAGGGUCCAUUGUCCCUGAUCCCCUAACCAUCGCUGAUCAUUUCAAUGGCACCUUCACCGCCUCCAGCUCCAUGCCCAUCUUCACCCGCGACUGGGAAGCCGGAGAGACCUUCACCUGCAAAGUGGAGCACUCGGACCUUCCCUCGCCCCUCAUCAAAUCCAUCUCCAAGAAGCCAGGCAGGCGCUCUGGCCCAGGCAUCUACCUCCUGCGCCCCCACAACGAGGAGCUGAGCAGCUCUGAAGACUCGGUCAGCCUCACCUGCCUGGUGCGGGGCUUCUUCCCCGAGGACAUCUCCGUGCAGUGGAUGAAGAACCACAAACCCGAGGAGACCUUGGAAUACAUCACCACCCCGCCCAUCAAGGACGGAACCGGCGACUCGAACUUCUUCCUCUACAGCAAGCUGAAAGUCAGCAAGGCCAGCUGGAACAGCGGGGACAUCUACACCUGCAUGGUCAUCCAUGAAGCCCUCUCGUUGAAGUUCACCCAACGCAGUGUCAGCAAAGACUCCGGUAAAUGAAGACGGCUCCUCCCAGCCCCGCUGCUAGCACUGUCCAGUACAGCUUCCUGUAAAUAAUCUCUGUGCCCCCAAUGACAACAAGUGAAUAAAUGGAACUAGU